UACGGAGGGGGCAAGCGUUAUUCGGAAUUAUUGGGCGUAAAGGGCGCGUAGGCGGCUAGAUGUGUCAAAGGUGAAAUCCCUCGGCUCAACUGAGGAACUGCCUUUGAAACUGUCUGGCUUGAGGCCGGGAGAGGGUAGCGGAAUUCCCAGUGUAGCGGUGAAAUGCGUAGAUAUCAAGAGGAACACCUGAGGUGAAGACGGGUUGCUGGGCUGACACUGACGCUGAGGCGCGAAAGCCAGGGGAGCAAACGGG
rnacentral:rRNA from 1 species